GACGAACGCUGGCGGCGUGCUUAACACAUGCAAGUCGAACGAAGUGGCGAACGGGUGAGUAACGCGUAAUCAACCUGCCCUUCAGUGGGGGACACCAGUUGGAACCGACUGCUAAUACCGCAUACUGAAGGUGGGGUUUUCGUCUGAUUAGUUAGUUGGAGGGGUAACGGGCAACCAAGGCGAUGAUAAGUAGGCGGACUGAGAGGUGGAACGGCCACAUUGGGACUGAGACACGGCCCAGACUCCUACGGGAGGCAGCAGUGGGGAAUCUGCCGAAAUGGACGAAAGUCUGACGGAGCAACGCCGCGGGAGUGAGGACGGCCUUCGGGUUGUAAAGCUCUGUUAAUCGGGACGAGGUACCGGAAUAGAAAGCCACGGCUAACUACGUGCCAGCCGCCGCGGUAAUUC
rnacentral:rRNA from 1 species